GACGAACGCUGGCGGCAUGCCUAAUACAUGCAAGUCGAACGAGAAAGUCCUUCGGGGCGAGUACAGUGGCGCACGGGUGAGUAACACGUAGGUGACCUGCCCUUUAGUUUGGGAUAACUCGAGGAAACUCGGGCUAAUACCGGAUGUUUUGAACAACUUUGGAAGGAGUUCAACAAAGAUGGCUUCGGCUAUCGCUAGAGGAUGGGCCUGCGGACCAUUAGCUUGAUGGUGGGGUAACGGCCUACCAUGGCUAUGAUGGUUAGCUGGUCUGAGAGGACGAUCAGCCACACUGGAACUGAGACACGGUCCAG
rnacentral:rRNA from 1 species